rnacentral:rRNA from 1 species
CACGUAGGGAGCAAGCGUUGUCCGGAUUUAUUGGGCGUAAAGAGCUCGUAGGCGGUUUGUCGCGUCGUCCGUGAAAACUUGGGGCUCAACCCCAAGCUUGCGGGCGAUACGGGCAGACUUGAGUACUGCAGGGGAGACUGGAAUUCCUGGUGUAGCGGUGAAAUGCGCAGAUAUCAGGAGGAACACCGGUGGCGAAGGCGGGUCUCUGGGCAGUAACUGACGCUGAGGAGCGAAAGCGUGGGGAGCGAACAGG